ensembl:lincRNA
ACAUACGUAUUACAUCGUACAUUCGACAUGUACACGCUUUAUGACAACGUAGCCCAAGGUGUACGGGUUCAUCAGGGUCCGGGGGAACCGGUGACCGUUUGGAAAGGGAAGGAGAGACCGCGGCGGCGCGAAAAUCGAACCCUCCGGGCAUGUCCGGGCUUGUCCCCUCGUUUUCCUUUCCAGGGGUUUUCCGGGCUCGUCCGCAGAUCGCGUGUCCGCAGAUCCCGUGCCCGCGCUUUAAAUGCGCCCGAGCGUCCCAGCGAUGGACCACGCCGUGUUGGUCACUCCGACGGGAGCGCGCUCCGCACUCGUGCGCCUCUCCACGCUGCUCUACCUGAUGCGCGUUCCCGGGGCGGUCCCCGAGUGCGAUGGGCACGGCGACGGCUCGUACCCGGUGUGCCGCUGCGGAGUGGAGUUCGCGCGACUGCUGGAACUGGAAGGGACGCGUGAACAGCACGAGCUCCGCACGCACUACCAGCGUGCACCCAACGGCCGGUGGUACACCUGCCAACGGUGUUUUGCUUGCAAAUAUACAGGCCGUGCUGUUCACCUCACCUGUGCUGGUGAUAGAGAUACUGUCUGUGGGGAAUGCCUCAACCCAAACCAGCGUUAUGACCCUCACUCGCUGGUCUGCGUUGACCGGGAAAUUUCACACGAUGGCUGCCACCCCAUACCCGAUGCCACCGGUACGCAAAUGUCAGCCAAUGAAAGAUUCCCUUACAAAAUUGCCAAACUAUUCUGGAAUGCUUCCAAUAUCAAAACAUGGAACAAAAUUAUUUUGAUGUUUUAGAAAAUGAAUUGUAUGUUAUUGAAUUGUCAGUGCAGGAGAAAUAGCGAUGGGAUUUAGAGCAAAAAAAUAAAAUAAAACCAAGACAGAUAAUUAUUACGUUGCCUUAAAAUUUGAGAAAUAAUUAAACAUACAAAAUUAACAUACAAGCAUGCCAAUUAUCUAAUCAUAAUUUAACUACACCCCACCCCCCCCAAAUUUCUCCCACUUUCCUUCCACAUCUGAUCUUCUGUUGCUGCUGAUUCAGCAACCACAGUUACUCAGCAGCGCUGGUUCAUCCCUGCACUUGCAAUGAGCUCACUGAUUCUGCUCAUCCUUGCGACACUCAUCAGUCACAUGAUAUGCAGACCCUUCCAGGGUCACUCAUCAAUUGAAGUUAGGCCCAUGGACCAUCAAGACACAUUGUGACUCGAAGAGGGGCCUGGUGACUAUGGACGCAAAUGCAUUAAAUUUCCUGUUUUAAGAAGACCCACACUGCGACGAUAUCCACGAAGGAAGCAGCAGAGGUCCUCGGGUUUAAGCAACUGUGGUGAGGCUUCCAGAGAAUGGGAAACAAACUGAUUUGACUCUUUAUAUUACAUCCGUGAUGGUUGAAUUUCUUCCAUGUGAUCUCUUUAUGUUGCACCAUAGAAGUUUGGGAAUAACACAGCAACACUUAUUUACCAUUCUCACAAUUAUGCUCUCAUUGCUUAUCUAUUAUGUAUCAAGAGGGUGGAUUGUGCAGUAGUGAAGGCAUUCAUCCAGUCAUCUCAUCUGCAUUUGCUUUUCAAGAUAACACAUACUUUAGUCUCUUUAGAACAAGUGUGCAGCUUUGCAAAAACUCUUCAGCAAUAUAUCAUAGUAAGUGAAGCAUCAUAGCUAUUGAGAAAGCAAGUGAUGUGAGUGGAGUGUAAUGCAAGUUAUAGACACAAUUAAUGAAAUGGAUGAACUAAUUCAAAUGAGAUUUAGAUAUGACAGGAGUGACAGGCUGGACAGCCCUUUCUGCCCUUGGAUCUUUGGCCCCAAUGGAGUCGAGUUCAGAGACAUCAGCAUUGUUGGAGGCACUCGAAUGAAGCUGAAGGAAAUUAUGUUUUGUCCCCCAUUUGUCUUUUAUGUAAUUCCUUAAACGAACAAAGAACUUGUCCUUAUGGACGUGUUGAUUCCACCACUUUUAUAAUUUUGACUUUGUAAUACCCGCC